GGCGAGUGGUGCAAGUGUUAUUCCUCGUGACUGGGCGUAUAGGGUGCGUAGGCGGUGUAAAAAGUUUUCAAUUAAAUGCACAUACGUGGAACAAAUUGAUCAAACUAUUACACUAGAGUAUAGUAGAAGAUAGCGGAACUUAUUGCAUUAGAGUUAAAAAUGCGUUUAAAAACAAUAAGUAACACCAGAGGCGAAGGCGGCUAUCUAGACUAUACUGACGCUGAGGCACGAAGGCAUGGGGAUCAAAUGGG
rnacentral:rRNA from 1 species